rnacentral:tRNA from 1 species
GGUAAGAUGGCCGAGGGUUAGGCGGUGGCCUGUAGUUCCACCGAGGAAGGUUUAAGUCCUUCUCUUACCA